GCUUAUACUCGACCGUCAGCGGCACGUGCGAUCGACGUGUGUAUUUAAAACACACACGCGGUCACUAAGCCCUGACGAGUAGGAGGGUCGCGGCGGUGAGCGCAGAAGGGCUGGCCGCGAGGCCGUCUGGAGCCGCCGUCGGUGCAGAUCUUGGUGGUAGUAGCAAAUACUCCAGCGAGGCCCUGGAGGACUGACGUGGAGAAGGGUUUCGUGUGAACAGCCGUUGCACACGAGUCAGUCGAUCCUAAGCCCUAGGCGAAAGCCGAUGUCGAUGCGGUGUAGAUUUACGUAGCAUUACAAAAAGCGGUAAACGUAUAUAAGCACACACCCGUCGGGCGAAAGGGAAUCCGGUUCCUAUUCCGGAACCUGGCAGCGGAACCGUCAAAAAGUCGGGC
rnacentral:rRNA from 1 species